UAACACACAACUAAAGUCACAAGCUUUCGUAGUCACUGGUAUAGUCAAAUCGCUGUAGUCACAAGCUAUAACAAGUUGCUGAGGUAACAAGCAAAAAGCAUUCAUCAGUUUCAUUCGAGACGCUAAAUAAAAACACUGCUGAUGUGUCACAACGAGUUUUAGUCACUGCUAGUCAAAUUGCUGUGGACACAAGCUAGUCACAAGCUAAGUCCCAAGAAAACAUUGGUCAUUUCUGAUUUUACCCAUUUUGGCAGAACCUACAUUCCCAUUUUUAUUUUCUCUUUGUGUUUUGUUGACGCCAGAUCACAUUUGAAGACAUCUUGAGGACAUUCGACCUCAAUUGUGGAACAAACCGGUAGCAUUUCUUAAUUCUGCGAACAAAAAGUUUUCGUUGGCCGAAGAACCUGAAUAAUUGAGUAAUGGAUUUUUCCCCAACGCUUGAAAAAAUUACUGAUGUAAACAUUAAAUUAUUAUUCGAGCAUCUUAUCAAGAAUUUGAAGGAUUUGCAGCGAAGAGUUUUGCAACUAGAAAGCUUGGUCUGUUCGGAUUUACUAUCUGAAGGUCAAGAACUGUUCAAAAAGUAUUGCGAAGGAGAGGACAGGCCGUUGAUGUUUCCGCCUGCACCUUCACAACAGAGAAUUGACGCUUACGAAGCCCGCGAUGUGAAUGACAAUCCAAAUAUUGCCGAAGAUGAGAAACUACAGCAAAACUAUGAAGCUGAAGUGAAAGUAUACCGAGCCCUUGAAAAGCUAGACGAGCCAAUCAUAGUGUUGCAUGGACUAACAUACACUCAUUUCCGAUUCAGAAUAUGGGAUUCAAAGCAUAACACAGAAACUUGUUCAUCAGCCAAAAAAAUGCUCUGUGAAAAACCAAAUAAAACAGAAGGAGAGCAUGAUUUUGUAGUGAUGGGACCAGAUUACAUUGUUAUUAUUGAAGUGAAAAAUCCUAUAAAACAACAAAGAAACAUAAAUGAGUCAGUUAAGAAAGCUCACGAGCAGUUUCAAAGAGCUGAAACACUUGUUCGUGCAAUUGCUGAAAAAACCAAUCCUGCAGCGCAAUCUUCAAUCAAAUUGUUCAACAUAGUAGCGUUUCCCAAUUUUGGUCAAGAAGACCUCUCUUCUGCCAUUGAAAAGUCGGUCAAUGAAAAUUUCUCUGUGAUAUACGAAGAUCACUUGAAAAAUUUCAGUUCAUUUUGGAACGGUGAAAUUAAAACAAGUUCCUCUAGGGAGAAAGUUUGCGGUGAUAUUGAUAAAAUACAAUGCGUGUUACUUCGGCUUUUAGCCAACGAAAAAACAGGCACACGUAUAGAUGAAAGCAAAGUAAGUCUGGCUGAGUGUGUACGUGAAAUUGACCGAAAGCUGCGAGACAGCGAGAUCACUUUUAGAUCCGAAAAGCGACCCAACAACCCAAACGUUUGGAAAACUAGCGAGCUACCCCUUGUUGAAGGAAUUAACAUAUUCCAGGACUGUUUGGGCCUUAAGUAUAUUACUACAGAGCAAAAGGACGCGUAUGAGAGCACAGCGGAUCAUUUGAUCAUAAGUGGUCCAAGUGGUUCUGGCAAAACUUUGAUUUUGCUAGCAAGGAUUAUCCGACUAGCCCUCACUAAACCUGAGUCCAAGAUCGCAUUUUAUGUCCAGCACAGUAAGAAAUUAGUCAAUUACGAAGAUAUUUUCAAAUCUGCUUCAAUCAAAUUUUGGAUAGGCGAUGAGUCAGAUUCAUCUCGGCCAGAUGAGUCAGCAGCGAUAUGCGAUUUAACUCCACAAGUGCAAAUCUUCCACGGGAAAUCAGCUUUCGAUAGGGCACGUAGUUUUGAUAGUUUUCACUAUCUAUUUCUUGACGAUUUUCAGAGUGGAGUGAUGUCAUUAGAUUUUAUCACAGCUGCUCCUAAAAUAAAUGGCGUUGGAUUUGACUUAACUCAGGCCGAUUUUCUACAACAAAAUUUCAGUAAGCAUCAAGCCAACGAUUUUUUGAAAGAGUUUCAAUUUAUCAAGCUAGAAAAAACAUACCGCAACACUCACAAUAUUGUAACACAGCUAAUGACACUGAGUGAGCACAAAAGAUUGAGUAAGCUCCAAAAACGUUUCCCCUACUCUGAUAAUUUACUUCAUAGGACGUUUUUUCACAUUCCUUCUUACGGACACUUCAUUCACGGACCUCAAGUACUCGUUAACAUUUAUGACGCUGGCAACCGACUAAAACAAUUUACGAAAAGAAAAGUAGUUCCUCGGGUUUUCUCUGAAAUUGUUACUUCGGGCGGAAAAACGAGUGAAAAAAAUGCAAUUGAGGCAUGCAUUUUAUUCAACGAUUUCAGCGAUGAAGAAAUCCAGUUUUAUUCACAGCAGUACCCAUCAGUUUUGUUUUCAAACGGCAAUUAUUUAGGUGAUAUAGCUUCUACUGAGUUUACGGAAUGUCAAAUUGUUUGCUCAAAAAACUUUUUGCAUUAUAACUCAAUUUUAUCGGAACCAACAAUUUCCUGGAUGCUAUCAGAACUUAAGAAGUCAAAAUUUGGUUUAUCAAGGCUAUCUAUAACAGAUGAGAUGAGAGCAAAACUGAAACUAAACGAGCUUCUCCAAUUAUUAGAUGAAUCAAUAUCGAAGCUAGCUGUUGUCAAAACGUUGGGCAUACCGCCAAUAUCUUCGGAGCGAUCCUUAUCCAAGGAAGUUGAGUUGAAAAAAGAAACAUACCAAUUAAGCCUCGAUUUUGUUAGUAAGUCCUUGCAACAAACAAUUGAAAAGCUGGGAAGUGUAUCUGAUGAAAGUACCUCCGAUGUUCGGCUCACUCAUCUCCACAGGCUAGAAUCAUGCAUGAAUAAGCUUAUAACUAUAGAUUCUGUUAGCACUCCGACUAACUAUGAGCCCCUUAUAAGCAUGCUUUUCAAUACAAUAUCAAGGACACGAGUGCUAUGUCGAAUUCACCUGGCCUAUGACAAAUUCUGCCCGAUUACUAAACAAAUUGCUGAAAACUUCUGGCGAGAAAUCUUUCCAGACGCCAGGAUCAGAUUUAUAAAUUUAUAAAAAAAAUCCAGCUUGGGAGAAAUAUAUAAACCCAGUUAUUGUUCCGACUUUCGAUACGAAAGUAACGGAAUAUUUGUGCUCGGGGUGGGUUUUUUUUUCUUCAGACAAAUUUCAACUUUUUAGCUAGC